UGAACGCUAGCGGCAGGCCUAAUACAUGCAAGUCGAGGGGUAUGGGCAGCAAUGCCCGGAGACCGGCAAACGGGUGCGGAACACGUACAGAACCUCCCCCCCAGCGGGGAAUAGCCCCUGGAAACGGGGAUUAAUACCCCAUGAGAUAGCGGUGUGGCAUCACAUAGCUAUUAAAGGUUUACCACUGGGGGAUGGCUGUGCGGCCGAUUAGGUAGUUGGCGGGGUAAAGGCCCACCAAGCCUUCGAUCGGUAACUGGUGUGAGAGCACGACCAGUCACACGGGCACUGAGACACGAGCCCGACUCCUACGGGAGGCAGCAGUAAGGAAUAUUGGUCAAUGGGCGGAAGCCUGAACCAGCCAUGCCGCGUGGAGGAUGAUUGCCCUCUGGGUUGUAAACUCCUUUUACGGGGGACGAAAAAAGGGCAUUCUUGCUCGUCUGACGGUACCCCGUGAAUAAGCACCGGCUAACUCCGUGCCAGCAGCCGCGGUAAUACGGAGGGUGCGAGCGUUAUCCGGAUUCACUGGGUUUAAAGGGAGCGUAGGCGGGCAUGUAAGUCAGUGGUGAAAUCCUGGGGCUCAACCCCGGAACUGCCAUUGAUACUAUGUGCCUUGGAUGUUGUCGAGGUUUGCGGAAUACGUCAUGUAGCGGUGAAAUGCUUAGAUAUGACGUAGAACACCGAUUGCGAAGGCAGCAGGCUAGACAAAUAUCGACGCUGAGGCUCGAAAGCGUGGGGAUCAAACAGGAUUAGAUACCCUGGUAGUCCACGCCCUAAACGAUGAUUACUCGACAUGUGCGAUACACUGUACGUGUCCGAGCGAAAGCAUUAAGUAAUCCACCUGGGAAGUACGGCCGCAAGGCUGAAACUCAAAAGAAUUGACGG
rnacentral:rRNA from 1 species